GCCAAGGCUAGGAUCGCUACCGAAAAGGGUGUGUAGCCCUCUACACCCCGCCUUGGCGCCCAACACAGUGGGGG
rnacentral:sRNA from 1 species